CAGUAGCCGCGGGAAUACGGAGGGGGCUAGCGUUGUUCGGAAUUACUGGGCGUAAAGCGCACGUAGGCGGCUUGGUAAGUUAGAGGUGAAAGCCUGGAGCUCAACCCCGGAACUGCCUUUGAUACUGGGAGUCUUGAGUUCGAGAGAGGUGAGUGGAAUUGCGAGUGUAGAGGUGAAAUUCGUAGAUAUUCGCAGGAACACCAGUGGCGAAGGCGGCUCACUGGCUCGAUACUGACGCUGAGGUGCGAAAGCGUGGGGAGCAAACAGGAUUAGAUACCCGGGUAGUCCCUGUCUCUUAUAU
rnacentral:rRNA from 1 species